rnacentral:rRNA from 1 species
UACGGAGGAUGCGAGCGUUAUCCGGAUUUAUUGGGUUUAAAGGGUGCGUAGGCGGACGCUUAAGUCAGCGGUAAAAUUGCGGGGCUCAACCUCGUCGAGCCGUUGAAACUGGGUGCCUUGAGUGGGCGAGAAGUACGCGGAAUGCGUGGUGUAGCGGUGAAAUGCAUAGAUAUCACGCAGAACUCCGAUUGCGAAGGCAGCUUACCAGUCUGCGACUGACGCUCAGGCACGAAAGUGUGGGUAUCGAACAGG